GAUGAACGCUAGCGGCAGGCUUAAUACAUGCAAGUCGAGGGGGUAACAUGGUAGCAAUACUGAUGACGACCGGCAAACGGGUGCGGAACACGUACAGAACCUUCCUUUAAGUGGGGGAUAGCCCGGAGAAAUCCGGAUUAAUACCCCGUAAGAUUAUUGAAUGGCAUCAUUUAGUAAUUAUAGAUUUAUCGCUUAGAGAUGGCUGUGCGGCUGAUUAGGUUAGUUGGUGAGGGAACGGCCCACCAAGCCAGCGAUCAGUAACUGGUGUGAGAGCACGACCAGUCACACGGGCACUGAGACACGGGGCCCGACUCCUACGGGAGGCAGCAGUAAGGAAUAUUGGUCAAU
rnacentral:rRNA from 1 species